AGAAGAUAAGAAGAAUAGCAGCAAGAACAGAGGCGAUGGCAGUAGCUAUAAGUUUAGAUGAAAUAUUUUUGGAUUUGGGUGAAUGAGGAAGGAUAAGAGAAGAAAUAUUAGCAGGAAAAGAAGCAUAAGCAGAAGGUGGUGGAGGAGAAGGGAAAGAGGGGAAAAAGGGAGUGUUGUUAUUAGGAGUAGAAGAAGAAUCAAAAGGGUAUUUAGGAGUAGUAGAGGAAGAAGGUGGAUAUGAAUCUUGUGGGAAAAAUGGCUGAUGAAGAACACGGCGGUUCUUGGCAGAGACAGCGACGGAGAAGAGGAGGAGGAAGAUGAAGAAAGAAGGAAGCAUGAUGAUGGAGAGAGAGAAUGUAGGUAAGCUAAGCUAGAGAGAGAGAGGGGUAGAAAUGCAUCAAAGAUAGAUAUGCAUGGAUUUGGAGAGUAGGAGGACUAA
rnacentral:misc_RNA from 1 species